rnacentral:lncRNA from 1 species
GGCUUUUAACUCUGAGUCUUGUUUUAAGAACACACUGUCAGCUGAGAUUAAGACAAGAUUUCUACUUGAACACAAAGGUGAGAAAGAAUUCCAGUCAUGCUUCCAGGGAACCAGCUGUGCUGUUUAGCUGCUCUAGACAGAGGGAGGCUGUGCUCCAAACAAUUAUGAGUCAACAGGUACAACUGCUGGAAUUCUCAUUACUGAAAAUUAAUAUUUGAGGAUUCUCUCAGAAGACUUUACAUUUUGAAAGACAACAAAUAAAAUGAUUCUUUAUCUUCUUUAUGCCAAC